GUCACAGGAUCCUCACCUGCAAGUCCAACCUUUGCUCCCUCCAUCACUCCCCUGUCCACUAGUUACAAAUGAUUUUGGGAGGCAGUAGACUAUAUAGGAAGCAGCAGGUUCGCUGAAGGUAGGGUUCCAUGACUCAGCUUCCAUGAAGUCCUCAUCCGUGUUGGGCUGGGACUCUGUGAAGAUGGAGUUGUUUUGGCAUCAACCAUAUUCCUCCUCGCAGAUACAUUCCCAAGAUGCCACGAAGUACAAUUUAUCCUGUCGUGUCGUAUCUAUAUUGGAAGAGGACUCACAGAGCUGUUGACUGCGAUUACUUCUGAAGAGCGGGCCUGCCUUCUGUCUUUUAACCCCUUAUAGGACAAGGACAAAUUCAAAAGGCUAAGAGACGAAGAAGAUUCCGGGAAACAGCUGUGUGAAAGCCAGGGGUCAGAUUGUACCAUUUCCACUUUCAAGGGCUAUGAAAUGUGGCUUCCACUUAGUUCUGAUCUUAGAGUAGAACGAAAAAUGGGGGAGAAGGUAUAUAAAAAGUAGAAUUGCCCCUUCCUUCAGUGGGCACUCUUGCGGCUGCUCGCCCUCCCCUCCUCCCUAGCACCUCACUGGCUUUGUCCCUACUUAGCCUUGAAGACUUUGCUCCAGGUUCCUGUGUUCCUCCCUCUCCAUCAGCUUCCCUCCUCUCCAUCCUCCCCUGCCUGUCUCCCCUUAGUCCAGGAAUGAAGACUGAAGCCCUCUUCCAUCUCCGCUCUCUGCCGCCCUCCUACACGAGACUUCAUUGAUGAUCUUGUUUACCGUUUGCACCAAUCCCCCUUGCCACCUGCUCCCUAGAUUGUAACGUCCCUUGCAGUAGGGACAGAGCCUAUAGUGGGUCCCAACAAAGGUUUGUUUAACGAACAAAACCUAGAGAUGUUUCAGUAUGUCUUCAUAACCCUGGGUGCUUAU